CAAAAAUGAUAUUUAAAUGAGGAGAUUUAACAACAUUUACAUAGGUAAGUUUUCUUUUCAGUUCAUAUUCAAAAUUUCAUGACGUGAAAUGAUAAGAAGGCACAUACUAACAUCUUUGCAAUAGCAACCGUGAGUGAAUCUCUUUCAAGUGAUUGUGAUCACAACAUCAUUAAAAUGCAUGGGAAGUUGGAGAAAGAAGCUCUAGACUUUCUUAAUAGUCUGAAGAUCACUUCAAAAAUACAAACAAAAGUUCAAGCAAAAUAAAAAUAAAUCUUAGCGAUUUUCCGACACGCCUACUUUUUACAAGAACAUAUAUGCAAAAAAUAAAAAUAAGUAUUGAAUCAUAUUCAAAGAAUUUAGAGACCAUCACAAAUGCUUCCACUGAUGAUUCAUCGACGAAAGCAAGUCAGUUACAAAUUCAACUGGCAUACACAAAAAAUAUCUAUAUAACUCGUCCUCCUUUUAAAAUAUCUCCUAUCCCGUUUCCUGAUAGUUGAUUUGAAUAAUGUGUUAAUCAACAAUUUCCAGUAGACCCUCGGCAAUCCUUCAUUAAAUAAUAUCAAUAAAAGGCAUGGAUGACUCUUGAGUAGUUGCAGCUCAUUCUUUCACGCUAAUGAUAAUAAAAUCGUCCGAAACAAAAGAAAAGAGAACAGAAUAUUUAAAAACACUACUUGGCUUUUUCGUUAGUUUUCUAGACCUUGAUGCUCGCUGACUUGCAGUUAUUCAUAAAAAUGUUCUAUUUCUUGAUCACGCUGAAUCAUGUCUUAGUAAUGUUGAUAUUGAAUUUGAAUCUCAGUCUAGAGAUAUAAAAGCAAAGCUAUGCAAUUGGGAUAACAUACCGACUAUUUGGCAAUACUGAAUUUCUGCUGCAGUUUAUCUAUCGAAGGCGGAAAAUAUUUCUAUUAAAGUAGUUUAGGAUGUUGUUAAUUUCAAUGUAGCAAAACAGACACAAUAGAAGAAUUUUUAAAAGUCAGCGAGGCUUUAUGCAAACACUACAAAGAGAUAUUUCCAAAUUGCUUAGCAACAGUAAAGAACUUUCAAAAAUGUUUAUAAACAACUUUGUGGAAAACAAGUGCAGAAGUUCAAGAAGUAUAAGUCUACUGUGUAAAUAUAGCGAUAUAGAUAUCGACAAAGUUAACAAUAAUCAACUCUCUGGUGAAAAAAACAAAAACAAAAUAUACACAUUAAUUAAUGAACACAUCAAAUAAAAAAUAAAGACAUGAAAACAAAAGGAAACUUUUUGAACCGAAUCAAUGGAUUUUAAUAGAGUACAUCUUUUAACAGUAUAAAUACGACACAAACACACCGAAUAUUUAGUGGAAUUACCAAUGCGCAAAUUUUGUUCUUGUGGACAUAACUUAAAUAAGUAUGUGUGUUUAUCUCAUAAUAAAGAGUGGGAUCUUAAUAUAUUAUCCAAGUUUACGAAAGGGAUGUCAGCUGCACAAUGAUAAGUAUAGAUUUGAAACUUAUACUUAUAUUCUUUCGUUAAAAUCCAUUGAAUCGUUAUUGAUAACAAAACAUAACAGUAAAUAUUCAUCAAAAUCAUUGGAUUAUUGUCAUUACAUGUAUAUAGAAAUAUUUUUAAUCACAUGUGUUGUAAACAGAAUUAAGGUUGUCAAUGCAGAGAAAAACGUUUGGUAUUUUUUAUAUACCUUUGAACAGAUAAACAAAUAUUAUCAUUUUCUUCAGUACUUAAAGCAUGAUCACCAAAUAAUAAUAGAUCGAUAGUAAUAUUUACAUUAAAUACAUUAAUUUCGUUAAACAUCAGAUUUCUCUGAGCUGAAAAAAAUAAUACAAUAUAAUAGAUAGUGUUCAACAUUUUCAUUAAUAAAACCACAUGAACAAUUUGCAUUUUGUAUCAAAUUUGCUUUGAACAAGUCAGCACGCAGUGCGCUACAUCUGUUACGCAGCCUUGUGUAUAAAACAGAAUACAAACGAUCUCCUAAAGAACCAAAUCUCGGAGAUUUAUUAUUUCUAUAGUAUAGUUUGUGCAAGUUUUAUUUAAAAAAGGAAAAUAUACUAAUAUGUCUUAUACAUGUACUUAAGUCUAAAGAGUUCCACAGUGCAAUAGAUGACGGAAAAUAAGACUGUUGAUAAGCUGAUAAACGAUUUACGGGGAUAGUAAUAUUUUGACUGUUACGCAAAUUAUAAUUACAAAUAUCUGAUACAAAAUCCGGAACCAAAUCGUGUAAAUAAUCUGGCGCUUGGUUAUUUAUAAUCUUAUAAAACAUAGAUAUAUAGCAGUUUUACAAACCCUCACUUUGAUCAUUAAUAUCCUAAUGUUAGCUCAACAAUAGAACACGAUGAAAACGUUGAGUUGAACUUUAGUGAGGACGUGAUGAGUGUAGAAAGAUCGUGAUAAUCGUAGUGUGGUCGCAGAAUAAGCGAGGCAGGAACGUGGUAUAAUUGAGCGGGAUCGUUGUAGAAGCGUAAUGAGGACGUUGUAGCAAUGUGAUUGAAACGAAAGUUUACCUUUUUUUAUGAGCUCAUCUUCGAGCUCACCAUGAUCUGAAUUUAUUUUAGAUUGCGGUGAGCGUGGUGCGAUCGUGGUCUAGUGGGACUGGGGCUAGUAAAAGUGUAUGAGUUUACCACAUUUUUUUGAUAGAGUGCAGAAUAACUACGCACAACAAUCCGAGGGAAAGAGAUACAGGGAAACUUGAUGUUAAAUGUUGGUGAUUAAUUAUUCUAAUAAUUUAACUUUAUGGGUACUUAUAUUUAGUAUGAACAUUAUUUGUUUAUUGUUUCAAAUUAUAAUAAUGAUGAAAUUAAAACAAGUAUAUUCUAGGCUAUCACUACAUUCAAUGUAUUUCAUUUUUUAAUUUUUUUUAUUGCUAUUAUGAUUAUUGGUACUGUCAUUUUUGUUAUAGGUAUGACUUUCAAAAGCGGGUGUGUCAAAAAAUGAAAGAUCGACUAAAAUUGGAUAAGAAAAAAGUCCUAUCUUAAAUACAAAGAACUGAUUUGAAAAUUAAGGAAGUUGAAAAAGAUUUACAACAGUUCAAUUCUAUAUCGGACCAAUGACUUGUGUCUAAAAAACAUGGAAAGGAAAGGAAGAAGAGUAAUUGAAAAUAAUAUACAAUCUGUGAAUAUUUAUUUUGUUUUUUAAAUCUCGAAACAACAAGUGAAUGUCAACUGAAUAUAAUAAAUGCGGCAA
rnacentral:lncRNA from 1 species